rnacentral:rRNA from 1 species
UGACGGUAUCAUAUGAAUAAGCACCGGCUAACUCCGUGCCAGCAGCCGCGGUAAUACGGGGGGUGCAAGCGUUACUCGGAAUCACUGGGCGUAAAGAGCAUGUAGGCGGGUGAAUAAGUUGGAAGUGAAAUCCUAUAGCUUAACUAUAGAACUGCUUCCAAAACUGUUCACCUAGAGUAUGGGAGAGGUAGAUGGAAUUUCUGGUGUAGGGGUAAAAUCCGUAGAGAUCAGAAGGAAUACCGAUUGCGAAGGCGAUCUACUGGAACAUUACUGACGCUCAGAUGCGAAAGCGUGGGGAGCAAACAGGAUUAGAUACCCUGGUAGUCCACGCCCUAAACGAUGUACACUAGUUGUUGCUAUACUAGAUAUGGCAGUAAUGCAGUUAACACUUUAAGUGUACCGCCUGGGGAGUACGGUCGCAAGAUUAAAACUCAAAGGAAUAGACGGGGACCCGCACAAGCGGUGGAGCAUGCGGUUUAAUUCGACGAUACGCGAAAAACCUUACCUGGCCUUGACAUAGUAGGAAUCUUUAAGAGAUUAGAGAGUGCUAGCUUGCUAGAACCUACAUACAGGUGCUGCACGGCUGUCGUCAGC